rnacentral:snoRNA from 1 species
UGCACGCUCCUUAGAUCCAUCUCUGUCAUUAUAGGAGAUGCUUGAGUCAUAAGUGUGCUAAAUAAGAGUAACUCCAACAAGUUACUUCAGUUAGAAAUUCGUUUUUACUUAAUUUCUUCUGUAACUUGUCGGGGAACAUU